AGCACUUGUGUGUGUGUCUUUGUUUAGUUUUGUAACAAAGCCUUACAGACAGGCGCAAACAGUAAAGCCUCUUUUGCAGCCCAAAACUCAUUGUUGAAUAUGAGUAUGAAAGGAUGAAAGGAGUAUG